AUGUGCAGGAGAACAGGCGAAACAGAGUUAGGUUGUCCUAGCAUGCAACCUUGGAGCACAGCCAACAUCCAACAGCAGUGUCACUCUUACAACAGCUCCCUUUUUUCUCUCUCUCCAUGUUCCUCCCUUUCUCUCCCUGCCAUCUCCCUGGCUCUGCCCCUCCCCUCUACUCUCUCUCCAUGUUCCUCCCUUUCUCUCCCUGCCAUCUCCCUGGCUCUGCCCCUCCCCUCUACUCUCUCUCCAUGUUCCUCCCUGCCAUCUCCCUGGCUCUGCCCCUCCCCUCUACUCUCUCUCCAUGUUCCUCCCUUUCUCUCCCUGCCAUCUCCCUGGCUCUGCCCCUCCCCUCUACUCUCUCUCCAUGUUCCUCCCUUUCUCUCCCUGCCAUCUCCCUGGCUCUGCCCCUCCCCUCUACUCUCUCUCCAUGUUCCUCCCUUUCUCUCCCUGCCAUCUCCCUGGCUCUGCCCCUCUCCCCCCCUCUACUCUCUCUCCAUGUUCCUCCCUUUCUCUCCCUGCCAUCUCCCUGGCUCUGCCCCUCCCCUCUACUCGCUCUCCAUGUUCCUCCCUUUCUCUCCCUGUCAUCUCCCUGGCUCUGCCCCUCCCCUCUACUCUCUCUCCAUGUUCCUCCCUUCCAUCUCCCUGGCUCUGCCCCUCCCCUCUACUCUCUCUCCAUGUUCCUCCCUUUCUCUCCCUGCCAUCUCCCUAGCUCUGCCCCUCCCCUCUACUCUCUCUCCCUGCCAUCUCCCUGGCUCUGCCCCUCCCCUGUACUCUUUCUCCAUGUUCCUCCCUUUCUCUCCCUGCCAUCUCCCUGGCUCUGCCCCUCCCCUCUACUCUCUCUCCAUGUUCCUCCCUUUCUCUCCCUGCCAUCUCCCUAGCUCUGCCCCUCCCCUCUACUCUCUCUCCAUGUUCCUCCCUUUCUCUCCCUGCCAUCUCCCUGGCUCUGCCCCUCUCCACCCCUCUACUCUCUCUCCAUGUUCCUCCCUUUCUCUCCCUGCCAUCUCCCUGGCUCUGCCCCUCCCCUCUACUCUCUCUCCAUGUUCCUCCCUUUCUCUCCCUGCCAUCUCCCUAGCUCUGCCCCUCCCCUCUACUCUCUCUCCAUGUUCCUCCCUUUCUCUCCCUGCCAUCUCCCUGGCUCUGCCCCUCCCCUCUACUCUCUCUCCCUGCCAUCUCCCUGGCUCUGCCCCUACCCUCUACUCUCUCUCCCUGCCAUCUCCCUGGCUCUGCCCAUCCCCCUCCCCUCUACUCUUUCUCCAUGUUCCUCCCUUUCUCUCCCUGCCAUCUCCCUGGCUCUGCCCCUCCCCUCUACUCUCUCUCCAUGUUCCUCCCUUUCUCUCCCUGCCAUCUCCCUGGCUCUGCCCCUCCCCUCUACUCUCUCUCCAUGUUCCUCCCUUUCUCUCCCUGCCAUCUCCCUAG
rnacentral:lncRNA from 1 species